UGGGUAGUUGGGGACAGGAGUUAUGUAUAGGUAGUUGGGGACAGGAGUUAUGUAAGGGUAGUUGGGGACAGGAGUUAUGUAAGGGUAGUUGGGGACAGGAGUUAUGUAAGGGUAGUUGGGGACAGGAGUUAUGUAAGGGUAGUUGGGGACAGGAGUUAUGUAUA